GGAAUAUUGCACAAUGGGCGCAAGCCUGAUGCAGCCAUGCCGCGUGUAUGAAGAAGGCCUUAGGGUUGUAAAGUACUUUCAGCGGGGAGGAAGGCGAUAAGGUUAAUAACCUUGUCGAUUGACGUUACCCGCAGAAGAAGCACCGGCUAACUCCGUGCCAGCAGCCGCGGUAAUACGGAGGGUGCAAGCGUUAAUCGGAAUUACUGGGCGUAAAGCGCACGCAGGCGGUCUGUCAAGUCGGAUGUGAAAUCCCCGGGCUCAACCUGGGAACUGCAUUCGAAACUGGCAGGCUAGAGUCUUGUAGAGGGGGGUAGAAUUCCAGGUGUAGCGGUGAAAUGCGUAGAGAGCUGGAGGAAUACCGGUGGCGAAGGCGGCCCCCUGGACAAAGACUGACGCUCAGGUGCGAAAGCGUGGGGAGCAAACAGGA
rnacentral:misc_RNA from 1 species